UACGUAGGGUCCGAGCGUUGUCCGGAAUUAUUGGGCGUAAAGAGCUCGUAGGCGGUUUGUCGCGUCUGCUGUGAAAUCCCGAGGCUCAACCUCGGGCCUGCAGUGGGUACGGGCAGACUGGAGUGCGGUAGGGGAGAAUGGAAUUCCUGGUGUAGCGGUGGAAUGCGCAGAUAUCAGGAGGAACACCGAUGGCGAAGGCAGUUCUCUGGGCCGUAACUGACGCUGAGGAGCGAAAGCGUGGGUAGCAAACAGG
rnacentral:rRNA from 1 species